GAGACUUUGGAAUGGGCAAGAGGGUCAUUGAGGACCAGAUUGUAGAAGAGUGUAGAUACCUGAUAGAGAACUUUGAAUCUUGCAAAGGAAAGCCCUUUGAGACCAUCACUAUAAUAAAUGGAGCAGUAGCUAAUAUCAUUGUAUCAGUAUUGCUUGGAAACUUGUUUGACUAUGAAGACCCCUAGUUCAUAAGACUCCUAAAUUUAAUCAGUGAAAAUGUAAGGCUUGUUGGAAGUCCUUCAGUUGUGAUCUAUAAUCGGUUUCCAGCCCUUGGAUUUCUCUCCAAGGAUUACAAAACUGUUCUUCAAAACAGGGAUGAGUUUCAUGCUUUUACACAGGUUAUUUUCAAAGAACACCUCAAAAAGCUAGACAAAAAUGACCAGCGAAGAUUUAUUGAUGUAUUCUUCAUAAGACAGAAGGAGGAGAAAAGUGACACCAAUGGCUAUUUCCAUAAUGAAAAUUUUAAAAACCUUAUAUUGAACUUGUUUACUGCUGGAAUGGAAAGCACUUCCACCACACUGCGCUGGGGUCUUCUCCUAAUGAUGAAGUACCCUGAAAUUCAG